rnacentral:rRNA from 1 species
AUUGAACGCUGGCGGCAGGCUUAACACAUGCAAGUCGAACGAUGAAGAUAUAGCUUGCUAUAUCGGAUUAGUGGCGGACGGGUGAGUAACACUUAGGAAUCUACCUUUUAGCGGGGGAUAGCUCGGGGAAACUCGAAUUAAUACCGCAUAAUUUCUACGGAAUAAAGAGGGCUUUUAGCUCUCACUAGAAGAUGAGCCUAAGUAAGAUUAGCUAGUUGGUGGGGUAAAAGCCUACCAAGGCGACGAUCUUUAGCUGGUCUGAGAGGAUGAUCAGCCACACUGGGACUGAGACACGGCCAGACUCCUACGGGAGGCAGCAGUGGGGAAUAUUGGACAAUGGGGGCAACCCUGAUCCAGCCAUGCCGCGUGUGUGAAGAAGGCCUUUUGGUUGUAAAGCACUUUAAGCAGUGAAGAAGACCUAUUGGUUAAUACCCAAUAGCGAUGACAUUAACUGCAGAAUAAGCACCGGCUAACUCUGUGCCAGCAGCCGCGGUAAUACAGAGGGUGCAAGCGUUAAUCGGAAUUACUGGGCGUAAAGCGAGCGUAGGUGGUUAAAUAAGUCAGAUGUGAAAGCCCUGGGCUCAACCUAGGAACGGCAUCUGAAACUAUUUAACUAGAGUAGGUGAGAGGGAAGUAGAAUUUCAGGUGUAGCGGUGAAAUGCGUAGAGAUCUGAAGGAAUACCGAUGGCGAAGGCAGCUUCCUGGCAUUAUACUGACACUGAGGCUCGAAAGCGUGGGUAGCAAACAGG